rnacentral:rRNA from 1 species
CCUACGGGGGGCUGCAGUGGGGAAUAUUGGACAAUGGGGGAACCCUGAUCCAGCCAUGCCGCGUGUGUGAAGAAGGCCCUCGGGUUGUAAAGCACUUUCAGUGAGGAAGAACGCCUGGUGGUUAAUACCCAUCAGGAAAGACAUCACUCACAGAAGAAGCACCGGCUAACUCCGUGCCAGCAGCCGCGGUAAUACGGAGGGUGCGAGCGUUAAUCGGAAUUACUGGGCGUAAAGCGCGCGUAGGUGGCUUGAUAAGCCGGUUGUGAAAGCCCCGGGCUCAACCUGGGAACGGCAUCCGGAACUGUCAAGCUAGAGUGCAGGAGAGGAAGGUAGAAUUCCCGGUGUAGCGGUGAAAUGCGUAGAGAUCGGGAGGAAUACCAGUGGCGAAGGCGGCCUUCUGGACUGACACUGACACUGAGGUGCGAAAGCGUGGGUAGCAAACAGGAUUAGAUACCCGUGUAGUC